rnacentral:rRNA from 1 species
AAUAAUCCAUUUUGCUUCAUGGCGAGAUGUUGAAAGACGGUUUCGGCUGUCACUAUAAGAUGGGCCCGCGGCGCAUUAGCUAGUUGGUAGGGUAAUGGCCUACCAAGGCGACGAUGCGUAGCCGACCUGAGAGGGUGAUCGGCCACACUGGGACUGAGACACGGCCCAGACUCCUACGGGAGGCAGCAGUAGGGAAUCUUCCACAAUGGACGAAAGUCUGAUGGAGCAACGCCGCGUGAGUGAAGAAGGUUUUCGGAUCGUAAAACUCUGUUGUAAGGGAAGAACACGUACGAGAGUAACUGCUCGUACCUUGACGGUACCUUAUUAGAAAGCCACGGCUAACUACGUG